AUUGAACGCUGGCGGCAUGCCUUACACAUGCAAGUCGAACGGUAGAGGGGCAACCCUCGAGAGUGGCGAACGGGUGAGUAAUGCAUCGGAACGUACCCAGUUGUGGGGGAUAGCUCGGCGAAAGCCGGAUUAAUACCGCAUACGCACUGAGGUGGAAAGCGGGAGACUCGCAAGGGCCUCGCGCAGUUGGAGCGGCCGAUGUCAGAUUAGCUAGUUGGUGGGGUAAAGGCCUACCAAGGCGACGAUCUGUAGCUGGUCUGAGAGGAUGACCAGCCACACUGGGACUGAGACACGGCCCAGACUCCUACGGGAGGCAGCAGUGGGGAAUUUUGGACAAUGGGCGCAAGCCUGAUCCAGCCAUGCCGCGCGCAGGAAGAAGGCCUUCGGGUUGUAAACUGCUUUUGUCAGGGAAGAAAUGUUCCGGGUUAAUAACCUGGGAAGAUGACGGUACCUGAAGAAUAAGCACCGGCUAACUACGUGCCAGCAGCCGCGG
rnacentral:rRNA from 1 species